CAGUAGCCGCGGUAAUACGAGGGGGGCAAGCGUUGUUCGGAAUUAUUGGGCGUAAAGGGUGCGUAGGCGGUUUGGCAAGUCUUGUGUGAAAUCUUCGGGCUCAACCCGAAGCCUGCACGAGAAGCUGCCGGGCUUGAGUAUUGGAGAGGUGAGUGGAAUUUCCGGUGUAGCAGUGAAAUGCGUAGAGAUCGGAAGGAACAUCUGUGGCGAAGGCGACUAUCUGGGCCAACACUGACACUGAGGCACGAAAGCGUGGGGAGCAAACAGGAUUAGAUACCCCCGUAGUCCCUGUCUCUUAUAC
rnacentral:rRNA from 1 species